ACCUACGGGGGGCAGCAGUGAGGAAUAUUGGUCAAUGGUCGGGAGACUGAACCAGCCAAGCCGCGUGAGGGAUGAAGGUACAGAGUAUCGUAAACCUCUUUUGUCAGGAAACAAAGGCGGGGACGCGUCCCCGGAUGAGUGUACCUGAAGAAAAAGCAUCGGCUAACUCCGUGCCAGCAGCCGCGGUAAUACGGAGGAUGCGAGCGUUAUCCGGAUUUAUUGGGUUUAAAGGGUGCGCAGGCGGUCUGUUAAGUCAGCGGUCAAAGUCCGGGGCUCAACCCCGGCCCGCCGUUGAAACUGGCAGU
rnacentral:rRNA from 1 species